GACGAACGCGGCGGCGUGCCUAAUACAUGCAAGUCGAACGAACCGCGACUGAGUGCUUGCACUUGGUCAAGGUGAGUGGCGAACGGGUGAGUAACACGUGGGUAACCUACCUCAUAGUGGGGGAUAACAGUCGGAAACGACUGCUAAUACCGCAUAGGACAUGGGAUCACAUGAUUCUGUGAGGAAAGGUGGCGCAAGCUAUCGCUAAGAGAUGGACCCGCGGUGCAUUAGCUAGUUGGUAGGGUAACGGCCUACCAAGGCGAUGAUGCAUAGCCGACCUGAGAGGGUGAUCGGCCACAUUGGGACUGAGACACGGCCCAAACUCCUACGGGAGGCAGCAGUAGGGAAUCUUCCGCAAUGGACGCAAGUCUGACGGAGCAACGCCGCGUGAGUGAAGAAGGUCUUCGGAUCGUAAAGCUCUGUUGUUAGAGAAGAACAGCGCAUAGAGUAACUGUUAUGCGUGUGACG
rnacentral:rRNA from 1 species